UAAUAAUAAUAAUAAUAAUAAUAGUUUAUUGUGACAUAAACAUAAAUCGCAGAGGCUGAAGCCUGUACGCGAUAUACAAUUAACAUAUGAACAAUAUUACAAUAGCCACAUUUGAAAUAAAUCUAAUUCUGAAUAAAAACUGAAUAAAUAAUGGAAUUGAUCAAAAUGAGGAUAACUUGAAGUGUCGAGAACUCAGUGAUGACUCUUUAGUGUUGUAACCUUGGUGACAUGCAGUUGAGGAUUACCGGUGCAUCAUCUAGAGGCCGAUCUAAGGUAGGCAGGAAUCCUUGGAUAUGAGGUUUCAUCCAUGAUUCAACCAUUGAUUAUGGAUUGAAUAUAUUUUCUUCCUUUUUCAAAAAUCCAUUUCUUUAUCAUAAUUUGUUGCUUCUUAUUGUGUCUUAUGUCUUUCAGGUUCUUCGGGAUCAUACUAUAAAUGCGUGGAGCCAAGUAUGUGAAGCAUCUUUGUCCAAUUCGCUUUUCUGCUCUAGGAAUCACGUGAAUUAUCUUACUUCUUGUUUCAUAACUGCAAUCGGUUUGUCUUAAUGUGAGUUGUAUUCUUCUAGAACAGAUGGCCGUUAAUAUCUGGGAUACAAAUAACUGUUGAGGAUUCAUUGCCCGCGAUAAGAAGUAUAAUUCGUCUGAAGGAAACAAAUGGGGCUUUCCGUAGAUUACACGGAGCAACCAUUUCUGGACCACUUCUACUCUUUUUAUAUGACAUUCGUACGCUCCACCCCAGGCAAUAAUUCCAUACUUUAUCAGCGAUUGGCAUAGAGCAUUAUAUAUCUGCAUUAGCCUUUCUAUUUCCAAAUACUUUUUAAGAUGUCUAUCGAUGGUAAUGCCGAGAUACUUGAUGGAGUCAGUUUCGGGUAUAAUUGUGCAAUCGUUGACUUUCAGAGGACCCAAGUUCGGAAGACCUGACUCAUAGGAAGUAAACGGUUUGGAUCUACCGCAGAGGUUAUCCACGUAAGACCAAAGUGAUUUUGUUGCUGAAGUAUAUUUCGUGACAAAGGUGUUCAUGUAAUCUCUUUUAGCAUUCCUGAUCAACUUGUGUAAAAUAUUUCUGUAUCUUGUAUAUUGUUGUUUCAACUCAGUAUUGUAUGGAUAUUUCAUCAUUUCCUUGUAUAAAUAGUUUUUUCUGUU